GUGGGGAAUAUUGGGCAAUGGGCGCAAGCCUGACCCAGCAACGCCGCGUGAAGGAAGAAGGCUUUCGGGUUGUAAACUUCUUUUACCAGGGACGAAACAAAUGACGGUACCUGGUGAAUAAGCCACGGCUAACUACGUGCCAGCAGCCGCGGUAAUACGUAGGUGGCGAGCGUUAUCCGGAUUUAUUGGGUGUAAAGGGCGUGUAGGCGGGACAGCAAGUCAGAUGUGAAAACCAGAGGCUCAACCUCUGGCCUGCAUUUGAAACUGUUGUUCUUGAGUGUCGGAGAGGUAAUCGGAAUUCCGUGUGUAGCGGUGAAAUGCGUAGAUAUACGGAGGAACACCAGUGGCGAAGGCGGAUUACUGGACGAUAACUGACGCUGAGGCGCGAAAGCGUGGGGAGCAAACAGGAUUAGAAACCCGUGUAGUCCC
rnacentral:rRNA from 1 species